UACGGAGGGUGCAAGCGUUAUCCGGAAUCACUGGGCGUAAAGGGCGCGUAGGCGGCAUGCCAAGCGUGUGGUGAAAGCCCGGGGCUCAACCCCGGGUCGGCCGUGCGGACUGGCGUGCUCGAGCACUGUAGGGGCGGGUGGAAUUCCGGGUGUAGCGGUGGAAUGCGUAGAGAUCCGGAAGAACACCGGUGGCGAAGGCGGCCCGCUGGGCAGGAAGGGGGAGCAAUCCUCCGGCGUGACACUGAGGCGCGACAGCGUGGGGGAGCAAACAGG
rnacentral:rRNA from 1 species